UUUUUCUAGGUGUAAAACAUUAAGUUGCACAAAAAGAUUUGAGCUUUUAGGAGGAUUCUAAUUUCCAGAAAAAA
rnacentral:tRNA from 1 species